UGGAGUCAGAGAAGGUUGGCCUUGGAUCCCUCACCUUGGAGUUUUCUCCUACUAUAAUAUAUUGGAAGAAUCAUGAUGAGCCACUGAGAUUUCUUGAGACAGAGAGUGAAUUUUCGGAACUGCUCUUUCAGCUGUUCCUCUUCCCUGCCAAUAGCAGAGCUUCCUGCAAACUGCACAUGAAACUGUUCUUUACCUUUGGACCUGAUAGAAACCGGAAGCAAGGAAAUCUGAAACUAAGAGGAAACAGGGUGAAGGCCAGAGCAUGGUGGAGCAUGAGCGUCAACUCUGUCUCUUCCUCCACCUUUUUUUCUUGGGCUCCAGCAUGUGGCCCUAGACCCUUCCUCACACUAAAGGUGCCCAUGAAGAGCCGUUCACCUAAGGCUAUCUGAGGUGAGUCUCACCGACGUGGGCCACCUUGUUCAGGCCCUGGCAACUCUAUUGAGCCUUGCAGUCCACUGCUUCUCCAAACAGCUUCCUCCCCAGAGCCGCUCUGGCGCAACCUUGAACACACCCUUCCUUUUCCAGCACCUGAGAGCAGGGUAGGGUCAGGGAGAACACGGUCUCCUCCUCCUUCAUUUCGUGUUUCUUCGACACCCAUUCCCCCUUCCUGUUUCACAAAUUUCUGACUCUUUCAUGAAGUAAGAGGCUGUCAAUGAAAGCACUUUAACAUGCCCUAGGUCAUGAGAGUCCAAGAAGGAAGAAUUAUGGGUGGAUUCUUGGUUCUCUUUUCCUUGAAGAAUGCUCAGACUGCAAAGGUCUUCAGAGGCCCCACCAGGUGGAUGAAUUCCAUGAUAUGAGCCAAGUGGUCAGAUCUCUGGCUGCCUUUAUGAGCUGAAGCCUCAAGCCAGGCUUGGCGAGCCCAAGGUGAAUACCUUUAGGAUAUAACUCUUCAGCCCAGUUGGGCCUCUUUUCAGGUCUCAAUCGGUUUUCUGUUGCUUUAGCACAGCGGUUCUCAGCCUUCCUAGUGCUAUGAACCUCCAAACCAUAAAAUUAUUUUUGUUGCCACUUCAUAACUAUAAUUGUGAUACUGUUAUAGAUUGUAAUGCAAGUAUCUGUGUUUUCUGAUGGUUUUAGAUGACCUUUCUGAAAAGGUUGUUCGACCCAAAGGGGUCUCGGCCCAUGCGUUGAGAGCCGCUGUUUCAGCAGCCAAGCUGAGAUGGGAUCAUUUGUAAAGGAAAGAUGUUCAUUGUCUGGCACUCCUCUGGCUUCACUUGGCUUCUGGCGAUGGCCUUAGGUGGGAGGAAGGGCAAUUAGCCAGAGAGAUCACACAGCGAGAGGAAGUUACGGAGAGCCUGGGAAACACGCUAUGUAACUCACACCUCCGGCGUAUAGCUCACUCUGUGGGAGCUACAUUCAUCAGUUCAAGAGGGCAGAGGCCCUGUGACACCAGCCAUCUCUUAAAGGCCUCCAUAUCGCUCAGUACUGUGGCAUUGGCAUUUUAUCUCAGCAUGGGGUUUUUGCAGAGACAAACCAUAUUUAAGGCAGAAUACUUAUGCUUACCUGAAUAGGGACAAAACCAUUAUAGAGUUUAGGACAGAGGGAGCUAGUGUUACUAAAUGGCAACUGAAAAAAAAAAUACAACCAGUCUGUUUGAAGGGUGCCAAGCCAAUAAGCAGAAUCAGCUAGGUAAUUCCUUGAUAGAGAUUGCUCAGACACUGGUCUCAUAGCCUUCUGAGUCCACAUUUCUAUGCUUCUGAUUUGUUUUUGCUUUGCAUUGGAAGGCCUAAGCGUGGUUUUAGGUUUUCAUCCAUUACCCAGACUGUCAAGUCCUGUCAACAGCUCUGUCCAGCAUCUCCAGAGGCUUGGGUCAGCUGGAGGAUAAUCAUAUUAGAUUACAUCGAAUAUCAUGUAACAGUUUGCAAACAUGUGUCUCUUGCAGUAGCUCCCUGAAGCCUCAAGCAGUUCUCAGAUGGCUGAUCACCUCUAAUCUGUGGACGAGGAAGCUGGAGGUCCAGAGAAGGGAACUGAGUACCCCAAGUGGCAGCCCAGCUUUCCCGAAUGAAAGUGCAUGCUUUUCUGCAAGCCUGCGGCCCGCCUAUGACAUACAAUAACAAUAAUUACUUAAUAUGAAUCACUGACACACUAGCUGUACGAGUGUACAUUAUCUCAUUUAGUUCUCCCAUUGGGCACAUGAAUAGCUGCAUUUUCCUCAUAUUAACGGUAGGAAAACUGAAGCAGAAAGAGCAAAGUAGGUAGUUCACCAUCACAUGGAGGAGGAGGAAGUGGAGAGCUGAGUCCUGCCUCAGAGCUGCUGUUCUUAACUGCUGACCACUUCACCAUCAGGCCGGAGGUGGGACAGCCAAUCCAAACUGGCCUCCUGUUUUAAAUUGCUUACUAAUUUUUAUUGAUAUUUUAAAAGGAAGAAUGGGGAAAAUGGAGGAAGAGGCUUUAACUGGGCAGUGGGAGAAAGGACAAUACAGAGAUAGAAGAAGGAAAGGAGGAGGCUAAAUAACACUAAUUGUAUCUGAAAAGUCAGAGUGAAUCACAUUCUUUUUAUGUUUACCUAAAAGUACACACAUACACACAUGUAUGCACACAUGCACACAUGCAUGCAAUAUACUUGGACAGGCAUAUAUGCUGCAGGGGGGGGGGAGGUGGACAUAGGAUGGGUUGGAGGGAGGAGGGGAAAUAAUGUAAAUACGGCAUACAUAUAUGAAAUUAAAAAAAAAUUUUUACUCUCUGUAAUACCAGAAGUCUUAUUUAACCGGUUUAUGGCAGACAAAUGAAAUUUGGACAUUUUCUAGGUCUUUUGGGUUGGGGUUCCAAAAGAAGACCAUCAGAUUUCAGGAUGUAGAGAGGAUCAUUUUGAAGUAAAGGAGAAGAAAAUGGACACCUCUCUUUCCAUUAUGGCUAGGGACCGAAGGGCAUGCCGGCCCACGGGACAAAGCUGCUGGGUCCUCAUAAUAACUGAUCAGACCUGGACUAUUCUGUUAGCUUUGCCAAAACAAAUUCUGAUAUGUCUUGAUAUUAGAACUAAAAAUAUGUUCUCAGCUAGCUGAAGAGCCGUAGAUGUUGGAACUGCACUAAUCGUAAUGGACAGACAGCUUUCUUCCUGCCAGCCUCUGAUCAUUAUUACAUCUAGGAAAUCAGCUGCAGCUAAUGGAGCCUUGAGCCCCCUUCUGGUUCCCAUUCUCCUUCUCUCAUUUGCCACGUGAAGGUAGGAAGGUCGAGGAGAAGCUCCCAGGUCACCUCGGUAUGGUCCUGGUGAUGCCUCUGUCACCUGGAAUCUCCCUAGGCCAGUUUUUGGCCAGUGCGGGCUGGAAAGCUGUUUCAGGGAUGGACUUCCCAGUCUCAUGUUUGGAGUUGUUCUUUUCCAGGAGACUUCUCUGAAACAAUCGUGGUGGCGUUUGGCUGGGCUGAGUGAGCGGCUCUGCCCUUGGACAUGGAAGGAUCCUUCUUUCUGCAGAUAUUCUACAGGGCAGCGAUGUGUGGAGGUGCAUGGCCUGUAAGGUUUCUCGCCAAAGCUUUUCCUCCACCUCCACCUGCACCCUUUUGCUCAGUCUACCUCCCUGAGUGCUGGCCACACAGCAGCUGGCAGACCCCCAGCUCUGAGAAGGAACUGGCUGGCUGUAAUUGCAGAAGACUGAUGAAUUUUGGAUCUGUGCCCUGCCCCUCUUUGAACCAGCAAUGGAAAGAUGGUUCCCUUUCUUCAUGAGUCCCCAGCGGUUCUGAACUAUAAGAUUACAAAACAACCAACUUGAAGGAUAAAUAAGAAGAGCUGCCUGUGGUCAUGCAGCUAUAAUGUCAUCUGUGAGCUUGUUUCACCCUCCGCACUGCUCCUCAGCGACUGAAGACAGCUUUCAAAAACGCUUGAGCAACCCACAUAUCACUGAACUAAUUGUACCAUGCCCCAAGGCCACGGAUUUGCAGAACAGUGCUCUUGGACAUUCCUGCUGUUUACUCAGUAGAAGCAGAACUAAACAGUACAAGAUCCUCCAAAAACAGCACUCAGAAGAACAAGAGACACGAUGAAGAGCUCUUAAUGUAAAGAAACAUUUUGGCUUUGCCCCGUCAUCUCUCAAGCUCUCAGCCUGCCAUCACCCCGGACCCCACCCUGUUGAAAUGGGUGCUGGACUAACCCUGGCUGGCAGGAAAGCUUUUGAGUUCCAGGAUUCUUCUAAACUGUGCUUGCUCAACCCAGCAAACAAAAGAGAAGCUAGAUGUCUCUCAUGCUUUCUCAGAAACCAAAUAACUCUAUCAAGAAGUAUGUCCAGCCCUACAGUACUGUGUUCCCCCCCCCCCCGCCCCUCCCCCGCUAUUCACUGAGGUGGAGAAGCAGCAGGAAAAGGGAUGGUACCACAGCUACUGUGCCGACCCUGGAGAGGGUUCCCAAGAAGACUCCUGGGUGUGGAGCAGUGCAGUCCGGAGGCGGAUUGUAAUGGAGCAUGCGUGCUGACGAGGAGCUGCUGGGAGAGAACGCUGGGAGCUGCUAUUUAACAAGAUGUUCAGACCACUUUCAAGGCCUGUACUGUGUGACUCUCUGCAGAUAUCACUCGCAAGAUGUGACAUUGAGGGGUUGCACUCACUGGUACCAGAGCCCGGACAAUUAGGAGAAGGCAGCAAACAACCUGAAACAAAACAGGACAGGCAAUUCUAAGAGAGACAGAGUGGUACAGGUGACACCCAUGCAACUAAGGUCCCCUCGAAGGCUGUGGGUUGCCACAUUCUGUAGAAACCACUGUUUUCAUUAGCUGGGUAAAUAUCUUAAAAUGCUUCAUGUGUUUCACAAUUUUAAACUAAAAACAAAGACAGUAAAACCCCAAAGAAACAUCUUAGCUUCCCAGUGGUCAGACAGGAUCCUCUCCAAUUCUCUCUCUCUU